rnacentral:rRNA from 1 species
UACAGAGGUCUCAAGCGUUGUUCGGAUUCAUUGGGCGUAAAGGGUGCGUAGGCGGCGCGGUAAGUCGGAUGUGAAAUCUCGGAGCUUAACUCCGAAACUGCAUUCGAUACUGCCGUGCUUGAGGACUGGAGAGGAGACUGGAAUUCAUGGUGUAGCAGUGAAAUGCGUAGAGAUCAUGAGGAAGACCAGUGGCGAAGGCGGGUCUCUGGACAGUUCCUGACACUGAGGCACGAAGGCCAGGGGAGCAAACGGG